rnacentral:tRNA from 1 species
GCGCUUGUAGCUCAGUUGGAUAGAGCGCAGCUUUGCGGAGGCUGAGGCCGUGGGUUCGAGCCCCACCAAGCGUG